CGAGUUCAGCAGGUGAUCGCGCCCUGCUUCGGCAGGGUGAGGAAAGUCCGCCCUCCACAGAGCAACGAUGCGAGCUAACGGCUCGGCGGCGCAAGCCGACGGACAGUGCAACAGAGAAGGGUAUUGCCCGUGCCGCAAGGCAUGGGCGAGGGUGAAACGGUGGUGUAAGAGACCACCAGCGCGCUCAGCAAUGGGCACGGCUGGCAAACCCCAUCGGGAGCAAGGUCAAGCAGAAGCAAGGGGCUGCUCGUCCCGCUAAUAGCUUCGGGUAGACCGCAUGAGGCGUCCGCGUGAGCGGCGUCCCAGAGAGAUGAUCACCGCCCGCAAGGGUACAGAAGGCGGCUUAUGCGGAACUUGGGCG
rnacentral:RNase_P_RNA from 1 species